rnacentral:rRNA from 1 species
AGAGUUUGAUCAUGGCUCAGGAUGAACGCUAGCUACAGGCUUAACACAUGCAAGUCGAGGGGUAGCAGGGUAGCAAUACCGCUGACGACCGGCGCACGGGUGAGUAACACGUAUCCAACCUUCCCAUAACUCAGGGAUAGCCUUUCGAAAGAAAGAUUAAUACCUGAUAGUACUUUUUCAAGGCAUCUUGAGAAAGUUAAAGAUUUAUUGGUUAUGGAUGGGGAUGCGUUCCAUUAGUUAGUUGGUGAGGUAACGGCUCACCAAGACGAUGAUACGUAGCCGACCUGAGAGGGUGAUCGGCCACAUUGGGACUGAGACACGGCCCAAACUCCUACGGGAGGCAGCAGUAGGGAAUCUUCCGCAAUGGACGAAAGUCUGACGGAGCAACGCCGCGUGAGUGAAGAAAGGUUUUCGGAUCGUAAAACUCUGUUGUCAGAGAAGAACAAGUUGGAGAGUAACUGCUCCAGCCUUGACGGUAUCUGACCAGAAAGCCACGGCUAACUACGUGCCAGCAGCGGC